rnacentral:rRNA from 1 species
GACGAACGCUGGCGGCGUGCUUAACACGUGCAAGUCGAACGGAAAGGCCCUGCUUUUGUGGGGUGCUCGAGUGGCGAACGGGUGAGUAACACGUGAGUAACCUGCCCUUGACUUUGGGAUAACUUCAGGAAACUGGGGCUAAUACCGGAUAGGAGCUCCUGCUGCAUGGUGGGGGUUGGAAAGUUUCGGCGGUUGGGGAUGGACUCGCGGCUUAUCAGCCUGUUGGUGGGGUAGUGGCUUACCAAGGCUUUGACGGGUAGCCGGCCUGAGAGGGUGACCGGCCACAUUGGGACUGAGAUACGGCCCAGACUCCUACGGGAGGCAGCAGUGGGGAAUAUUGCACAAUGGGCGGAAGCCUGAUGCAGCAACGCCGCGUGCGGGAUGACGGCCUUCGGGUUGUAAACCGCUUUCGCCUGUGACGAAGCGUGAGUGACGGUAAUGGGUAAAGAAGCACCGGCUAACUACGUG